AUACACUCACAAAAGCACGAUGAAUGACAACAAAAAACAAUAAGAUUCGAGAGACGAAUGUGAAGAGCCUGAACGCCCCCCAAUAGUAGACACAACAGCUACUUUAUAUUUUUUUCUUUAUUUUUCAUCAUUAUUUAUUAUUAUCAUAUCUUCAUUUUUCUUCUGAUUUCUG
rnacentral:ribozyme from 11 species